CAGCAAUGGGCGCGCCCGUGG
rnacentral:sRNA from 1 species